rnacentral:rRNA from 1 species
GUCCUUUAGAAUUUAAUUUAAGGUCUGACCUGCCCAGUGAUAAAUUUAACGGCCGCGGUAUACUGACCGUGCAAAGGUAGCAUAAUCAUUAGUCUUUUAAUAGAGGGCUGGAAUGAACGGUUUAACGAGGAACUGACUGUCUCAUUUUAUUUGUUUUAAAACUUAAUUUUUUAGUUAAAAAGCUAAAAUAUUAUUGGAAGACGAGAAGACCCUAUAGAUCUUCAUAUAAUUUUUUAUAUUUACUUAUAUAUUAAUAUGAGUAUAAUAAAAUUGUAUUUUGUUGGGGUGACAAAAAUAUAUAAUUAACUUUUUCAUUUAUUUACCAUUGAUAUAUGAUUUUUAGAUCCACUAUUAGUGAUUAUUAGAACAAGUUACCUUAGGGAUAACAGCGUAAUCCUCCUCCAGAGUUCAUAUUUACAGGAGGGCUUGCGACCUCGAUGUUGGAUUAAGAUAAUAAUUAGGUGUAGCCGCUUAAUAUAUAGGUCUGUUCGACCUUUAAAUUCUU